UACGUAGGGACCAAGCGUUGCUCGGAUUUACUGGGCGUAAAGGGCGCGUAGGCGGCGCGGUAAGUCACUUGUGAAAUCUCUGAGCUUAACUCAGAACGGCCAAGUGAUACUGCAGUGCUAGAGUGUGGAAGGGGCAAUCGGAAUUCUUGGUGUAGCGGUGAAAUGCGUUGAUAUCCACAGGAACUCCGGUGGCGAAGGCGGCAUGCUGGACCCGAUCUGACGCUGAGGCGCGAAAGCCAGGGGAGCAAACGGG
rnacentral:rRNA from 1 species